rnacentral:rRNA from 1 species
GAAACCAACAGGGAUUGCCUCAGUAACGGCGAGUGAAGCGGCAAAAGCUCAAAUUUGAAAUCUAGCACCUUCAGUGUUCGAGUUGUAAUUUGAAGAAGGUAACUUUGGUUUUGGCUCUUGUCUAUGUUCCUUGGAACAGGACGUCACAGAGGGUGAGAAUCCCGUGCGAUGAGAUGCCCAAUUCCAUGUAAAGUGCUUUCGAAGAGUCGAGUUGUUUGGGAAUGCAGCUCUAAGUGGGUGGUAAAUUCCAUCUAAAGCUAAAUAUUGGCGAGAGACCGAUAGCGAACAAGUACAGUGAUGGAAAGAUGAAAAGAACUUUGAAAAGAGAGUGAAAAAGUACGUGAAAUUGUUGAAAGGGAAGGGCUUGAGAUCAGACUUGGUAUUUUGCGUUCCCUUCCUUUUUGGUUGGGUUCCUCGCAGUUUACUGGGCCAGCAUCGGUUUGGAUGGUAGGAUAAUGACAUUGGAAUGUAGCUUUACUUCGGUGAAGUGUUAUAGACUUUGUUGAUACUGCCUAUCUAGACCGAGGACUGCGUCUU